rnacentral:tRNA from 1 species
GGGGAUGUGGCUCAGUGGUAGAGUUCUUGCCCUGCAUGCACAAGGUCCUCGGUUCAAUCCCCAGCAUCACCA